GACGAACGCUUUCGGCGUGCUUAACACAUGCAAGUCGAACGGAAAGGCCCUGCUUUUGUGGGGUGCUCGAGUGGCGAACGGGUGAGUAACACGUGAGUAACCUGCCCUUGACUUUGGGAUAACUUCAGGAAACUGGGGCUAAUACCGGAUAGGAGCUCCUGCUGCAUGGUGGGGGUUGGAAAGUUUCGGCGGUUGGGGAUGGACUCGCGGCUUAUCAGCUUGUUGGUGGGGUAGUGGCUUACCAAGGCUUUGACGGGUAGCCGGCCUGAGAGGGUGACCGGCCACAUUGGGACUGAGAUACGGCCCAGACUCCUACGGGAGGCAGCAGUGGGGAAUAUUGCACAAUGGGCGGAAGCCUGAUGCAGCAACGCCGCGUGCGGGAUGACGGCCUUCGGGUUGUAAACCGCUUUCGCCUGUGACGAAGCGUGAGUGACGGUAAUGGGUAAAGAAGCACCGGCUAACUACGUGCCAGCAGCCGCGGUGAUACGUAGGGUGCGAGCGUUGUCCGGAUUUAUUGGGCGUAAAGGGCUCGUAGGUGGUUGAUCGCGUCGGAAGUGUAAUCUUGGGGCUUAACCCUGAGCGUGCUUUCGAUACGGGUUGACUUGAGGAAGGUAGGGGAGAAUGGAAUUCCUGGUGGAGCGGUGGAAUGCGCAGAUAUCAGGAGGAACACCAGUGGCGAAGGCGGUUCUCUGGGCCUUUCCUGACGCUGAGGAGCGAAAGCGUGGGGAGCGAACAGGCUUAGAUACCCUGGUAGUCCACGCUGUAAACGGUGGGUACUAGGUGUGGGGUCCAUUCCACGGGUUCCGUGCCGUAGCUAACGCUUUAAGUACCCCGCCUGGGGAGUACGGCCGCAAGGCUAAAACUCAAAGGAAUUGACGGGGCCCCGCACAAGCGGCGGAGCAUGCGGAUUAAUUCGAUGCAACGCGUAGAACCUUACCUGGGUUUGACAUGGAUCGGGAGUGCUCAGAGAUGGGUGUGCCUCUUUUGGGGUCGGUUCACAGGUGGUGCAUGCCUGUCGUCAGCUCGUGUCGUGAGAUGUUGGGUUAAGUCCCGCAACGAGCGCAACCCUUGUUCACUGUUGCCAGCACGUUAUGGUGGGGACUCAGUGGAGACCGCCGGGGUCAACUCGGAGGAAGGUGGGGAUGACGUCAAGUCAUCAUGCCCCUUAUGUCCAGGGCUUCACGCAUGCUACAAUGGCUGGUACAGAGAGUGGCGAGCCUGUGAGGGUGAGCGAAUCUCGGAAAGCCGGUCUCAGUUCGGAUUGGGGUCUGCAACUCGACCUCAUGAAGUCGGAGUCGCUAGUAAUCGCAGAUCAGCAACGCUGCGGUGAAUACGUUCCCGGG
rnacentral:rRNA from 1 species